UAGGUUUUUGCUUUGCAAAAUGAAAAGGGAAAUUGGUUAAAUGCCAAUGCUGUACCCGCAACUGUAAGCUUAGUCCGCAUAGCGGAUGUUUUUCGAAAUCUCCAUGCCACUGAUUUAAUCGGGAAGGUUUUCGGAAAAACGCAAGCCAGGAGACCUGCCUUUCAUAG
rnacentral:ncRNA from 1 species